rnacentral:rRNA from 1 species
GGACGAACGCUGGCGGCGUGCUUAACACAUGCAAGUCGAACGGUGAAGCUCCAGCUUGCUGGAGUGGAUCAGUGGUGAACGGGUGAGUAACACGUGAGCAACCUGCCCCUGACUCUGGAAUAAGCGCUGGAAACGGCGUCUAAUACUGGAUACGAGAAGGGUCCGCAUGGGCACUUUCUGGAAAGUUUUUCGGUUGGGGAUGGGCUCGCGGCCUAUCAGCUUGUUGGUGAGGUAAUGGCUCACCAAGGCGACGACGGGUAGCCGGCCUGAGAGGGCGACCGGCCACACUGGGACUGAGACACGGCCCAGACUCCUACGGGAGGCAGCAGUGGGGAAUAUUGCACAAUGGGCGAAAGCCUGAUGCAGCGACGCCGCGUGAGGGAUGACGGCCUUCGGGUUGUAAACCUCUUUCAGCAGGGAAGAAGCGAAAGUGACGGUACCUGCAGAAGAAGCACCGGCUAACUACGUG